rnacentral:ncRNA from 1 species
UCGAUGGAGAGUUUGAUCCUGGCUCAGGACGAACGCUGGCGGCGUGCUUAACACAUGCAAGUCGAACGGUUUAUAAGGGCUUGCCCUUAUAGAUAGUGGCGAACGGGUGCGUAACACGUGAGCAACCUGCCCCAAAGUUUGGAAUAACACCGGGAAACCGAUGCUAAUACCAAAUAUGCUCACACUAUCACAAGAUAGAGUGAGGAAAGUUUUUCGCUUUGGGAGGGGCUCGCGGCCUAUCAGCUUGUUGGUGAGGUAACGGCUCACCAAGGCAUCGACGGGUAGCUGGUCUGAGAGGACGAUCAGCCACACUGGGACUGAGACACGGCCCAGACUCCUACGGGAGGCAGCAGUGGGGAAUAUUGCGCAAUGGGCGAAAGCCUGACGCAGCAACGCCGCGUGGAGGAUGAAGGCCUUAGGGUCGUAAAC